GGUUAAGCGACUAAGCGUACACGGUGGAUGCCCUGGCAGUCAGAGGCGAUGAAGGACGUGCUAAUCUGCGAUAAGCGCCGGUAAGGUGAUAUGAACCGUUAUAACCGGCGAUUUCCGAAUGGGGAAACCCAGUGUGAUUCGUCACACUAUCAUUAACUGAAUCCAUAGGUUAAUGAGGCGAACCGGGGGAACUGAAACAUCUAAGUACCCCGAGGAAAAGAAAUCAACCGAGAUUCCCCCAGUAGCGGCGAGCGAACGGGGAGGAGCCCAGAGCCUGAAUCAGCAUGUGUGUUAGUGGAAGCGUCUGGAAAGGCGCGCGAUACAGGGUGACAGCCCCGUACACAAAAGCGCAUGUGCUGUGAGCUCGAUGAGUAGGGCGGGACACGUGGUAUCCUGUCUGAAUAUGGGGGGACCAUCCUCCAAGGCUAAAUACUCCUGACUGACCGAUAGUGAACCAGUACCGUGAGGGAAAGGCGAAAAGAACCCCGGCGAGGGGAGUGAAAAAGAACCUGAAACCGUGUACGUACAAGCAGUGGGAGCACAGGUUUACCUGUGUGACUGCGUACCUUUUGUAUAAUGGGUCAGCGACUUAUAUUCUGUAGCAAGGUUAACCGAAUAGGGGAGCCGGAGGGAAACCGAGUCUUAAUUGGGCGUUAAGUUGCAGGGUAUAGACCCGAAACCCGGUGAUCUAGCCAUGGGCAGGUUGAAGGUUGGGUAACACUAACUGGAGGACCGAACCGACUAAUGUUGAAAAAUUAGCGGAUGACCUGUGGCUGGGGGUGAAAGGCCAAUCAAACCGGGAGAUAGCUGGUUCUCCCCGAAAGCUAUUUAGGUAGCGCCUCGUGAAUUCAUCUCCGGGGGUAGAGCACUGUUUCGGCUAGGGGGCCAUCCCGGCUUACCAACCCGAUGCAAACUGCGAAUACCGGAGAAUGUUAUCACGGGAGACACACGGCGGGUGCUAACGUCCGUCGUGAAGAGGGAAACAACCCAGACCGCCAGCUAAGGUCCCAAAGUCAUGGUUAAGUGGGAAACGAUGUGGGAAGGCCCAGACAGCCAGGAUGUUGGCUUAGAAGCAGCCAUCAUUUAAAGAAAGCGUAAUAGCUCACUGGUCGAGUCGGCCUGCGCGGAAGAUGUAACGGGGCUAAACCAUGCACCGAAGCUGCGGCAGCGACGCUGAUGCGUUGUUGGGUAGGGGAGCGUUCUGUAAGCCUGCGAAGGUGACCUGUGAGGGUUGCUGGAGGUAUCAGAAGUGCGAAUGCUGACAUAAGUAACGAUAAAGCGGGUGAAAAGCCCGCUCGCCGGAAGACCAAGGGUUCCUGUCCAACGUUAAUCGGGGCAGGGUGAGUCGACCCCUAAGGCGAGGCCGAAAGGCGUAGUCGAUGGGAAACGGGUUAAUAUUCCCGUACUUGGUGUUACUGCGAAGGGGGGACGGAGAAGGCUAUGUUGGCCGGGCGACGGUUGUCCCGGUUUAAGCGUGUAGGUGUGUGUUCCAGGUAAAUCCGGUUCACUUUAACACUGAGGCGUGACGACGAGGCACUACGGUGCUGAAGCAACAAAUGCCCUGCUUCCAGGAAAAGCCUCUAAGCAUCAGGUAACACGAAAUCGUACCCCAAACCGACACAGGUGGUCAGGUAGAGAAUACCAAGGCGCUUGAGAGAACUCGGGUGAAGGAACUAGGCAAAAUGGUGCCGUAACUUCGGGAGAAGGCACGCUGACACGUAGGUGAAGUGAUUUACUCAUGGAGCUGAAGUCAGUCGAAGAUACCAGCUGGCUGCAACUGUUUAUUAAAAACACAGCACUGUGCAAACACGAAAGUGGACGUAUACGGUGUGACGCCUGCCCGGUGCCGGAAGGUUAAUUGAUGGGGUCAGCGUAAGCGAAGCUCCUGAUCGAAGCCCCGGUAAACGGCGGCCGUAACUAUAACGGUCCUAAGGUAGCGAAAUUCCUUGUCGGGUAAGUUCCGACCUGCACGAAUGGCGUAAUGAUGGCCAGGCUGUCUCCACCCGAGACUCAGUGAAAUUGAACUCGCUGUGAAGAUGCAGUGUACCCGCGGCAAGACGGAAAGACCCCGUGAACCUUUACUAUAGCUUGACACUGAACAUUGAGCCUUGAUGUGUAGGAUAGGUGGGAGGCUUUGAAGUGUGGACGCCAGUCUGCAUGGAGCCGACCUUGAAAUACCACCCUUUAAUGUUUGAUGUUCUAACGUGGACCCGUAAUCCGGGUUGCGGACAGUGUCUGGUGGGUAGUUUGACUGGGGCGGUCUCCUCCUAAAGAGUAACGGAGGAGCACGAAGGUUGGCUAAUCCUGGUCGGACAUCAGGAGGUUAGUGCAAUGGCAUAAGCCAGCUUGACUGCGAGCGUGACGGCGCGAGCAGGUGCGAAAGCAGGUCAUAGUGAUCCGGUGGUUCUGAAUGGAAGGGCCAUCGCUCAACGGAUAAAAGGUACUCCGGGGAUAACAGGCUGAUACCGCCCAAGAGUUCAUAUCGACGGCGGUGUUUGGCACCUCGAUGUCGGCUCAUCACAUCCUGGGGCUGAAGUAGGUCCCAAGGGUAUGGCUGUUCGCCAUUUAAAGUGGUACGCGAGCUGGGUUUAGAACGUCGUGAGACAGUUCGGUCCCUAUCUGCCGUGGGCGCUGGAGAACUGAGGGGGGCUGCUCCUAGUACGAGAGGACCGGAGUGGACGCAUCACUGGUGUUCGGGUUGUCAUGCCAAUGGCACUGCCCGGUAGCUAAAUGCGGAAGAGAUAAGUGCUGAAAGCAUCUAAGCACGAAACUUGCCCCGAGAUGAGUUCUCCCUGAGACUUAGAGUCUCCUGAAGGAACGUUGAAGACGACGACGUUGAUAGGCCGGGUGUGUAAGCGCAGCGAUGCGUUGAGCUAACCGGUACUAAUGAACCGUGAGGCUUAACCUU
rnacentral:rRNA from 1 species